UACGUAAGGUGCAAGCGUUGUCCGGAAUUAUUGGGCGUAAAGAGCUCGUAGGCGGUCUGUCGCGUCGGCUGUGAAAACCCGAGGCUCAACCUCGGGCCUGCAGUCGAUACGGGCAAACUAGAGUACUGCAGGGGAGACUGGAAUUCCUGGUGUAGCGGUGAAAUGCGCAGAUAUCAGGAGGAACACCGGUGGCGAAGGCGGUUCUCUGGGCAUGUCCUGACGCUGAGGAGCGAAAGUGUGGGGAGCGAACAGG
rnacentral:rRNA from 1 species